ensembl:lncRNA
UCGAUGAGCCACCGCUGUGCUGAAUGUCAGGCCGUCUGACAGAGGACACACCGGCUGCUGCCAAGGGACAAGCGCUGACUUGUCCCCACCUACAUCAGCAUGCCCGGAAUGAAUGUGAGGACGUUCGGCCAAUUCGCGGCGUUUUCCACCAUUGUCGACAGAACAGCUUGGGUCUCACCUGCUGAUACAAAACAAAGCAGCGUUACCUUGGAUACGUCGAUGCCGCAGAGCGGAGCCAGAGUAGCGGAUCAGCAAUGAGUCACUGUGCUCACAAUGUCAGCCCGAUGGGAAGCGAGAAGAAAAGCUGAGCC